AACGGGGAUUACACGGUGAUGCGAUUUCGGUCAAAUCAAGUGCAAUCUUAGUGGCGGACGGGUGAGUAACGCGUGGGUAACCUGCCUUGCACUGGGGGAUAACACUUAGAAAUAGGUGCUAAUACCGCAUAAGCGCACGGUCCUGCAUGGGACAGUGUGAAAAACUCCGGUGGUGCAAGAUGGACCCGCGUCUGAUUAGCUGGUUGGCGGGGUAAAGGCCCACCAAGGCGACGAUCAGUAGCCGGCCUGAGAGGGUGGACGGCCACAUUGGGACUGAGACACGGCCCAAACUCCUACGGGAGGCAGCAGUGGGGGAUAUUGGACAAUGGGGGGAACCCUGAUCCAGCGACGCCGCGUGAGUGAAGAAGUAUUUCGGUAUGUAAAGCUCUGUCAGCAGGGAAGAAAGCAAUGACGGUACCUGACCAAGAAGCCCCGGCUAACUACGUGCCAGCAGCCGCGGUAAUACGUAGGGGGCAAGCGUUAUCCGGAAUUACUGGGUGUAAAGGGAGCGUAGACGGCUGUGCAAGUCUGGAGUGAAAGGCGGGGGCCCAACCCCCGGACUGCUCUGGAAACUGUAUGGCUGGAGUGCAGGAGAGGUAAGCGGAAUUCCUAGUGUAACGGUGAAAAGCCCUAGAUAUUAGGAGGAACCCCCNUNNCNNNNNCNNCUUNCUNNNCUNUNNCUNNCNUUNNNNCUCNAAANCNUNNNNCCCCUUUAAAGGNNNNNNCCNNNNNNNUCCACGCCGUAAACGAUGAUUACUAGGUGUCGGUGGGUAUGGACCCAUCGGUGCCGCAGCAAACGCAGUAAGUAAUCCACCUGGGGAGUACGUUCGCAAGAAUGAAACUCAAAGGAAUUGACGGGGACCCGCACAAGCGGUGGAGCAUGUGGUUUAAUCCGAAGCAACGCGAAGAACCUUACCAAGUCUUGACAUCUGGAUGACAGGGACGUAACGGUCCCCUUACUUCGGUACAUCCAAGACAGGUGGUGCAUGGUUGUCGUCAGCUCGUGUCGUGAGAUGUUGGGUUAAGUCCCGCAACGAGCGCAACCCUUAUCCUUAGUAGCCAGCGGGCAGGGCCGGGCGCUCUAGGGAGACUGCCGGGGAUAACCCGGAGGAAGGUGGGGAUGACGUCAAAUCAUCAUGCCCCUUAUGAUUUGGGCUACACACGUGCUACAAUGGCGUAAACAGAGGGAAGCGAACCCGCGAGGGGGAGCAAAUCCCAAAAAUAACGUCCCAGUUCGGAUUGUAGCCUGCAACCCGGCUACAUGAAGCUGGAAUCGCUAGUAAUCG
rnacentral:rRNA from 1 species